rnacentral:ncRNA from 2 species
UACGGAGGGUGCAAGCGUUAAUCGGAAUUACUGGGCGUAAAGCGCACGUAGGUGGCGGAUUAAGUCGGGUGUGAAAUCCCUGGGCUCAACCUGGGAAUUGCAUUCGAUACUGAUCGGCUAGAGUACGGUAGAGGGAGGUAGAAUUCCUAGUGUAGCGGUGAAAUGCGUAGAUAUUAGGAGGAAUACCGGUGGCGAAGGCGGCCUCCUGGACUGAUACUGACACUGAGGUGCGAAAGCGUGGGGAGCAAACAGG